rnacentral:rRNA from 1 species
CCUACGGGCGGCAGCAGUGGGGAAUAUUGGACAAUGGGCGAAAGCCUGAUCCAGCCAUGCCGCGUGUGUGAAGAAGGCCUUCGGGUUGUAAAGCACUUUCAGUGGGGAAGAAAGCCUUGGGGCUAAUACCCUCGAGGAAGGACAUCACCCACAGAAGAAGCACCGGCUAACUCCGUGCCAGCAGCCGCGGUAAUACGGAGGGUGCGAGCGUUAAUCGGAAUUACUGGGCGUAAAGCGCGCGUAGGCGGUCUGAUAAGCCGGUUGUGAAAGCCCCGGGCUCAACCUGGGAACGGCAUCCGGAACUGUCAGGCUAGAGUGCAGGAGAGGAAGGUAGAAUUCCCGGUGUAGCGGUGAAAUGCGUAGAGAUCGGGAGGAAUACCAGUGGCGAAGGCGGCCUUCUGGACUGACACUGACGCUGAGGUGCGAAAGCGUGGGUAGCAAACAGGAUUAGAUACCCUAGUUAGUC